UCUGCCGGUGUUACGGUUGAGGAGGAGGAUGAGGACUCUGAUUCACUUCAAAUUUGCAUCAUCAUAUCAUAUAUGAUCAAGUGGAUCGCCGCUAAUAAAAACACGAGUGACUAAUCCAUGGACUGGAUCCGGCUUAUGUGAGCUCUUGAUCAUGCCGAGGAGAGAACCAUGGGCCUCAAAGACAUUAUUGCUCUGUGGAUUAUUGGAUUGAAGGGAACUUUGAAGAUGGAAUUCACUGCACUUAGUUUUAGCAUAAAUAAAAGCAUCAUAGAAUUGCUUUAGAACGGUGCCGGAUUUUUCUCCAUUUCUUCAGAUAUUACACAUGACCUACCUAAUUACUUUUGAUCUUUGUCAGUUUUGCAAAUGAGAAUGAUCUGUUUGAGAUGUUCCACUUCCAAGGAUUCUUCAGCUACAGUCUUCAACUUCCCCUCAGGUUCAUGAUAGAACAUAAUGUCUACUGAUGUAGUAGGAUGCUGCUAUCAAGUUCAGAUUGGCAUCACUUUACUCCUCACAAAGUGAAAUCAUCAAAAGCUAGAUACCCCAACAAGAGGCUGAAAUGAAGCCCUUUUUUUAAGCUUUCUAGGAGAAUAAAGUCAUAGAAGAGUGUCCCCAUCAUCAAGUGUUCGACCGAGUGCCACUGAGCCCAACCGAGGAAGAGAGCGAGUCCGGCAGGCACCGAGUUGUCCGAGGGGCACGCCCGGC